GAUGAAGAACGUAGCGAAAUGCGAUAAGUAAUGUGAAUUGCAGAAUUCAGUGAAUCAUCGAAUCUUUGAACGCAUCUUGCGCUCCUUGGUAUUCCUUGGAGCAUGCCUGUUUGAGUAUCAUGAGCAAAUCUCAAAGUCAAUUCCUUUUGUUAAUUCAAUUGGUUUUGCUUUGGACUUGGAGGUCUUGCAGAUUUUCACAGUCUGCUCCUCUUAAAUGCAUUAGCUGGAUCUCAGUAAUUAUGCUUGGUUCCACUCGGCGUGAUAAGUAUCACUCGCUGAGGACACUGUUAAAAAGGUGGCCAGGAAAAUACUGAUUGAACCGCUUCUAACGGUCUAUUAAGUUAGACAAUUACCCUUAAGUUUGAUCUCAAAUCAGGUAGGACUACCCGCUGAACUUAAGCAUAUCAUAAGCGGAGGA
rnacentral:misc_RNA from 1 species